rnacentral:sRNA from 1 species
AAAAGGUAAAGUAGUCACCGCGGGCCAGGAUGACCCCGGAAUAAGGUUCAGGAACGUCAGGGCGACGAAGAACAGGAUACGGCUGGAGAGCCAGCGUCAUGAGACGCCACAAGGAAAAGGACACACACGGAGCGUUGUUUGCUAAAGGAAAAACAGGGUGGUUGGUAGCAAGCCAGGACGAGCGCAAAGUUAAGAGAAAAGGCGACAGCAAAACUGUCGCCUUUUCUCUUUUCUGCCUU